rnacentral:lncRNA from 1 species
AAGGCCUGCCCUAGUUUCACCCACCCCAUCCAUCUCCCUGGGCACACCUGCUCCUGCCAUCGGCACUCCUACUAUCAUGGCUGCAUCUGGGGUUUGGAGUUCACAGAAACCUCUUAAAAAGGCACCCAAUUGCUCAACUUUGCUAAGCAGAUGAAGAGUGAAAUAAAUGUUGCUUCACCAGCUGGUUGUUAUAAAGGCCAGCAUCACAUCAGUGGAGACAGUCCAGCCUCCCAGCCAGCCCUAAAGACACAGGCACCAGGAAAGGACCAGGCUCUCCAAGCCCCGGCCAGGCAACUUUGGCCCCAGUGGGCUGGAUGGUGGGAUGCAAUGAACCAUCCAACUUGGUGACUAAGGCUCUUUCUAACCAUGGAGUGUGGACAAAGGGAAAGUCUGUCAUCAGCAGACAAAGGGCUGGAAACCAAAUGAAAAUGCAGCAUCUCCAGGCAAUUUCCUUAAAAUGGAUCAACUUGAAACAUUCUCUAUCACAGGACCAGUAGACAGGAGAGGAGCCAAAGAAGGAAGGACUGUGCGUGUCGGAGCAGACAAAGAAUUAAUAAAAGGGUCACUGAACCUGCUCUGAAUCUCAGAUGCAUCCUUCGUGAAGU